rnacentral:rRNA from 1 species
GACGAACGCUGGCGGCGUGCCUAAUACAUGCAAGUAGAACGCUGAAGGAGGAGCUUGCUUCUCCGGAUGAGUUGCGAACGGGUGAGUAACGCGUAGGUAACCUGCCUGGUAGCGGGGAUAACUAUUGGAAACGAUAGCUAAUACCGCAUAACAGUAGAUGUUGCAUGACAUUUGCUUAAAAGGUGCAAUUGCAUCACUACCAGAUGGACCUGCGUUGUAUUAGCUAGUUGGUGAGGUAACGGCUCACCAAGGCGACGAUACAUAGCCGACCUGAGAGGGUGAUCGGCCACACUGGGACUGAGACACGGCCCAGACUCCUACGGGAGGCAGCAGUAGGGAAUCUUCGGCAAUGGACGGAAGUCUGACCGAGCAACGCCGCGUGAGUGAAGAAGGUUUUCGGAUCGUAAAGCUCUGUUGUAAGAGAAGAACGAGUGUGAGAGUGGAAAGUUCACACUGUGACGGUAUCUUACCAGAAAGGGACGGCUAACUACGUG